AUGAAAAGACGCAAAUGGGCUGGUAACCCGAAGUGUUCCUUCUGUCAGAAUAGAGAAACUUUUCAGCAUCUCUUCUUCACCUGCCCAGUUGCAAGGGUGGUUUGGAGAACGGUUGGCUGUGUGUUUGGCACAGAUUUGUGCCCUGAUAACCUAUGGCAAUAUUUCUCUUGGUGCUAUACUUUCUUACCUGAUGGUGCUAGAUUCUAUACAUUUGGCCUGGCUGCGAUCUGUUGGGCCAUGUGGAUAUAUCGUAACAGAGCCACUUUCGAAUGCAAAAAAUUGAGCACUCCUUUUGACGUGGUCUUCUCUGCAUGUGCAUACAUGAACUACUGGGUAGGUCUGAUGGUGGGAGUUAAUCGAGAGGCGAUGGAGCGCGGCGCUAAGAUGCUCAAGACCAACGCAGCUGCCAUGAUGAGGAUUUGUGCAGCCCCAGCUGGGUCAGCAAUGGACUGA
rnacentral:rRNA from 1 species